CAUGCAAGUCGAACGGAAAUCUUUUAGAUUUUAGUGGCGAACGGGUGAGUAACACGUAAGCAACCUGCCUUUAAGACGAGAAUAACAAUUGGAAACAGUUGCUAAGGCUGGAUAGGAAAUAAAAAGGAAUCUUUUUAUUUUUAAAAGACCUUUUUCGGAAGGUAUGCUUAAAGAGGGGCUUGCGUCACAUUAGUUAGUUGGUAGGGUAAAGGCCUACCAAGACGAUGAUGUGUAGCUGGACUGGGAGGUUGAACAGCCACAUUGGGACUGAGACACGGCCCAAACUCCUACGGGAGGCAGCAGUAGGGAAUUUUCGGCAAUGGAGGAAACUCUGACCGAGCAACGCCGCGUGAACGACGAAGUACUUCGGUAUGUAAAGUUCUUUUAUUGAAGAAGAAACAAUAGUGGAAAAACUAUCUUGACGUUAUUCAAUGAAUAAGCCCCGGCUAACUAUGUGCCAGCAGCCGCGGUAAUACAUAGGGGGCGAGCGUUAUCCGGAAUUAUUGGGCGUAAAGGGUGCGUAGGCGGUUUAAUAAGUCUCUAGUUUAAUUUCAACGCUUAACGUUGUCCUGCUAGAGAAACUGUUUAACUAGAGUGAGAUAGAGGUAAGCGGAAUUCCAUGUGUAGCGGUAAAAUGUGUAAAUAUAUGGAGGAACACCAGAGGCGUAGGCGGCUUACUGGGUCUUUACUGACGCUGAUGCACGAAAGCGUGGGGAGCAAACAGGAUUAGAUACCCUGGUAGUCCACGCCGUAAACUAUGAGUACUAAGUGUCGGGGUUAAACUCGGCACUGAAGUUAACACAUUAAGUACUCCGCCUGAGUAGUACGUACGCAAGUAUGAAACUUAAAGGAAUUGACGGGAUCCCGCACAAGCGGUGGAUCAUGUUGUUUAAUUCGAAGAUACACGAAAAACCUUACCAGGUCUUGACAUACUCUGCAAAGCUAUAGAAAUAUAGUGGAGGUUAUCAGGGAUACAGGUGGUGCAUGGUUGUCGUCAGCUCGUGUCGUGAGAUGUUAGGUUAAGUUCUAAAACGAGCGCAACCCCUGUCGUUAAUUGCCAGCACGUUAUGGUGGGGACUUUAGCGAGACUGCCAAUGAAAAAUUGGAGGAAGGUGGGGAUUACGUCAAAUCAUCAUGCCCCUUAUGAUCUGGGCUACAAACGUGAUACAAUGGCUAUUACAAAGAGUAGCUGAAACGCGAGUUUUCGGCAAAUCUCAAAAAAAUAGUCUCAGUUCGGAUUGAAGUCUGCAACUCGACUUCAUGAAGUUGGAAUCGCUAGUAAUCGCGAAUCAGCAUGUCGCGGUGAAUACGUUCUCGGGGUUUGUACACACCGCCCGUCAAACCACGAAAGUGGACAAUACCCGAAAGCGACAGCCUAACUGCGUAAG
rnacentral:rRNA from 1 species